GACGAACGCUGGCGGCGUGCUUAACACAUGCAAGUCGAACGGUGAAGCUCCAGCUUGCUGGAGUGGAUCAGUGGCGAACGGGUGAGUAACACGUGAGCAACCUGCCCCUGACUCUGGAAUAAGCGCUGGAAACGGCGUCUAAUACUGGAUACGAGAAGGGCCCGCAUGGGCACUUUCUGGAAAGUUUUUCGGUUGGGGAUGGGCUCGCGGCCUAUCAGCUUGCUGGUGAGGUAAUGGCUCACCAAGGCGACGACGGGUAGCCGGCCUGAGAGGGCGACCGGCCACACUGGGACUGAGACACGGCCCAGACUCCUACGGGAGGCAGCAGUGGGGAAUAUUGCACAAUGGGCGAAAGCCUGAUGCAGCGACGCCGCGUGAGGGAUGACGGCCUUCGGGUUGUAAACCUCUUUUAGUAGGGAAGAAGCGCAAGUGACGGUACCUGCAGAAAAAGCACCGGCUAACUACGUG
rnacentral:rRNA from 1 species